UACGUAGGGGGCAAGCGUUGUCCGGAAUUAUUGGGCGUAAAGAGCGUGUAGGCGGUCCGGUAAGUCCGCUGUGAAAGUCCAGGGCUCAACCCUGGAAUGCCGGUGGAUACUGCCGGGCUAGAGUCCGGUAGGGGAGUGGGGAAUUCCUGGUGUAGCGGUGAAAUGCGCAGAUAUCAGGAGGAACACCGGUGGCGAAGGCGCCACUCUGGGCCGGUACUGACGCUGAGGAGCGAAAGCGUGGGUAGCAAACAGG
rnacentral:rRNA from 1 species